rnacentral:lncRNA from 1 species
UCGGGAGGCAUCAGUUCCGCAUCCCGCACUCCCACGUGAAUUUGCCCCCGCCCUGAGUCAGAACCCUAGAGGGGUGAAAUCCCUGAAUUCUGCAGAGGAAACCCAUACUUCUUUGCUUUUUCAGCAAUUCCAGGAGAUGUCGUUUUUCAAGUGGCAAAUGUGUGGCUCUAGAGGACAGAGUAACCACCUUGCAGCCAAGAAGCCCUGAUGUCAACUCCCAGCUCUGCUGCAGCACCCAGAAAUCACCGGACCUUUCUGCAUCUUUCUGGGUGACUCUGUCAUGAGGAUUUCAUAAUGUAAUUCCCUAGCACAUAAGAAUUUCUCAACCAAUAUGGCUUUCUUUUUUCCUUCUCACUAGUCUUUGAGCUUCUUAAAGGGAAGACAUGUCCUAUUCAUCUCUACACCCCCCACACCAGUCUGCAUUCAGUAAGUGCUCAAUCAAUGUCUGCUGAAUCACAUCUUCCCACUCAACUGCAUGGCCUCGGAUGAUCCAAUUCUGUGGGACUCAGGGUCUCCCUGAUUCUGAAGAUCUCCAUUUCAGCCACCCCAUCCUGGUGCUUUUUCUGGAGAGACUGGGAAAAAGGUCUUAUUGGCUGUGCAAACUUGAGGGAGUUGCCUAACCACUCUGGGCCCUGUUUUCCUGGCUUUGCCACUCUUCAGCUGUGUGACCCGGGGAAGCUCUCAACCUCUUUGUGCCUCCAUUUCCACAUCUGUAAAAUGGGGAUAUGAAAGUGGCUGCUUUGUGAAGAGUCCUGAGAAUAAAUGAGUUAAGGUAUGUAACACUCUGCCUGGUGCCUGGUACCCUGCAAAUGUCAACCAGUCAUUUAAUCAGCAUC